rnacentral:rRNA from 1 species
AUUGAACGCUGGCGGCAGGCCUAACACAUGCAAGUCGAACGGUAGCACAGAGAGCUUGCUCUCGGGUGACGAGUGGCGGACGGGUGAGUAAUGUCUGGGAAACUGCCUGAUGGAGGGGGAUAACUACUGGAAACGGUAGCUAAUACCGCAUAAUGUCGCAAGACCAAAGAGGGGGGACCUUUCGGGUCCGUCCUUUGGUCCAUCAGAUGUGCCCAGAUGGGAUUAG